rnacentral:rRNA from 1 species
AUUGAACGCUGGCGGCAUGCCUUACACGUGCAAGUCGAACGGCAGCACGGGUGCUUGCACCUGGUGGCGAGUGGCGAACGGGUGAGUAAUACAUCGGAACAUGUCCUGUAGUGGGGGAUAGCCCGGCGAAAGCCGGAUUAAUACCGCAUACGAUCCACGGAUGAAAGCGGGGGACCUUCGGGCCUCGCGCUAUAGGGUUGGCCGAUGGCUGAUUAGCUAGUUGGUGGGGUAAAGGCCUACCAAGGCGACGAUCAGUAGCUGGUCUGAGAGGACGACCAGCCACACUGGGACUGAGACACGGCCCAGACUCCUACGGGAGGCAGCAGUGUGGAAUUUUGGACAAUGGGCGAAAGCCUGAUCCAGCAAUGCCGCGUGUGUGAAGAAGGCCUUCGGGUUGUAAAGCACUUUUGUCCGGAAAGAAAUCCUUGACUCUAAUACAGUCGGGGGAUGACGGUACCGGAAGAAUAAGCACCGGCUAACUACGUG